GGGAUAAGCGGCUGAAAGAUAAGAUAAGAGCGCACAUAUACAUAGAAUUUUCUAAGGAUCAAAAAGUGUGUCUUUUAAAAACUGUAAUUGUAAAGAGAGGUAGAAUCUCUCAAAAAAGACAGAGGAGUACUUUUUGUAAUUUAGUUUCUGAGUCCAUGAAGAAAAAAAUCGAUCACUGGUGUCUUCUUUUUCACAUAUUGCUUAAUUCUAGGUAAUAACAUCCCCUAAAAAUGGAUCAACUGUCAAUUAUUUGAAAUACGAACAAUCUGCCACAAUGGGACAUCAUAGAUUCAGAAUUUUUGGGAUCUUCUGGAUUAAAGUACUACUGGAUUGCAGUUAGAUGUACUCUGGGGUUUCGAAGUCCAGAGAAAGGGCAUUCAUUACCUUUUGCAAAACUGACAUGUGUAGGACCAAGUGAAGAAGGAGAACCUCUUGGUUCGGCAGGAGAAGCAGAGCUGCGGGAGUCGACACCGUGUGACUGUAGACACGAAAUCCCAAACGACUGGCGAGUUUCACACACACCUCAGAGUCGGAGCUGUCAAGUUCUGCCAGUGUGGGAGCUUUCAGCAGCCUCUUCCUCUGGGACAGUGCCUGAGCC